UCUAUCCGGGUAUAUUCGGAACUGCGGAGUCUGACCGCAGUGCACUUCUACUCAGCUCACUCUGUCUCUUUCUCACUGUGGGAGUAGCUAUGGGAAAGGUCACACUUCCUUGCUUUCCCCUCAAACCAACAGGGCUUUCACUUCUCAGUCUCCCAACACACUGCACACUGCUCCCAGCAUCCCGCACAGUCUCACCACACACAUCUCUGCACAUCAGGAAGUAAUGCACAGUAGGCUCCAUCGGGAUCCAUCUUCAUCAGCCCUGUGCCGGAUACAAACAGCACAUAUUUACAGGAGACGAGUUGAUCUUGGGGAAUGGCAGUUGUGUGAGUGCCAGGGCUUUGUAUAGGCUCAGCACCCAGUUAGAACAGCCUCUGUGGUGGACCUGGAGGGCUUUUGAGGGCCCAGGACUCUCAGUGGAUGAGAACUGAGACUGCCUGAACUCAGAAACUUAUGAAACGUGUGAGCUUUCAAAACAAUAUCUUCUUAGAGCUGGCCUGUUUAUCCUGCCUUCAAAAUAAAUUCUCAGCCCGUAUGCCCGUCUGUUUUAACCCUUGAGAGGAUGUUCCCAGUCUUGUGAGGUGCUCAGGGGGACCAGUGAGCUGUGCUUGUCCAUGUCUUUCUUAAGUAGCUUCAUGCACACUAACCAACUCUGAGACAGAUGAGCUUGUACCACCAGACAAUAAUCACUAGAACAGAUCUAAUCUCAUAGAGAAAAAGUAUAAUUCUCAUUAAAUGAUUUUCAAUGCA
rnacentral:lncRNA from 1 species